UCAAUCAAAAAACUAAACCAAAACACACAAUCGAAAUAAAAGGAAAAGAAAAUCCUCCGGGCGAAGAAGAUAUUUUUCCCGGUUUUCGCGGCUGUGAGUGAAAGUUGGAAAUCUAUAGGCGGUUUUUACUAUCUCGUUUAGGAUGAGGUUAAUUUCGUUUUAGCACACUCUCUCCUCUCUUUUCCUUUCUGCUACUGCUACGACUACGGGCUACUGUUUUCAUUUUGAAUUUUCUGCAGAAAUUAGGGUUUGUUUGUUGCGUUGAUUUUUAAGUUCAGAUUUUGUUUUCUCUGCGAGUAAUAGCGUGCUUGAGAAUGGGUGAGGUGGUGGUGAGUAGCAGCAGUGAAGAGGUGGAGGGGAUGGCGGUGGAGUUAGAGACAGAGAAGAAGGAUAUUGGAUCAUCGGAGGUGGUUCGAUGGGAAAAGUUUCUGCCAAGGAUGGUGCUCAGCGUUCUUUUGGUUGAAGCUGAUGAUUCUACUCGUCAGAUUAUUGCUGCUCUUCUCCGAAAAUGCAGUUACAGAGUUGCUGCUGUUCCUGAUGGAUUAAUGGCAUGGGAGACUUUGAAGGGUGGACCUCAUAACAUAGAUCUCAUAUUAACUGAAGUGGAGCUGCCUUUAAUAUCAGGAUAUGCACUUCUAACUUUGGUCACGGAGCAUGCUGUUUGCAAAAACAUUCCUGUCAUAAUGAUGUCUUCACAAGAUUCAAUUAGCAUGGUUCUGAAGUGCAUGUUAAAAGGAGCAGCUGACUUUCUCAUUAAGCCUGUUAGGAAGAAUGAAUUGAGGAACUUGUGGCAGCAUGUUUGGAGGAGGCAAACUCUAAGUGCUGGACAAAUCCCUCAAAACUCGCAUAAAGUGGAGGCCUCAUCUGAAAACAACGCUGCAAGCAAUGGUUCGAGUGACUCUGUGAUGUCUUCGCAGAAAAAUAAGGAUUGCAGCGAGAAAGGGUGUGAUGCCCAAAGCUCUUGUACGAUCCCUUGCUUGGAAGCUGAGAGUGCUCACAUGCAAAAUAUGCAGGGACUUUCACAGAUGAAGUAUAGGAGCGCUUCAAAUCUGAGCAACACAGAUAGAGAGGAGUUCGAAGAGUGUGCCAAAUCAGAUAAAAGCCCUGUAACUCCUGAGAACAAGAAUGGAGUAUUUGUACCAGAAAGGUCGAACCGAAUGGAGUCAGAUGGAGAACCGUGCAGUGGAGCUUAUAAUCCAACUUCUUUGAGACCGCUAGAAGAGCAUGCUUGUGCCAAGUCAGCGAUUCAAGAUGAAAAUUCGAGACCAGAAAAUGACAGGGUGCUUGCUAAUAGCUCCUUUGGCUGCGAUGAUGUUCCUUUUGAAUCCUCAAGUGGAGCCAUUGACUUGAUUGGUACCUUAAAUAAUGGUCCAAAGACCACAUAUGUACACUCUAGUUUACAUUAUGGCACAAACAAGUUCGAAUUUGCUCCACAACUUGAACUCUCUCUCAAAAGAUUGUAUCCCAGUAGCUCAAAGAACCAGGGGGUAGAUGAAAGACAUGCACUGAACCAUUCCCAUGCCUCAGCCUUCUCAUGGUACAAUAGCAAGACAUUGCAACCUCCUUUUCCAGCAUCUGCCAGUAAUGGUUCUGAUUCCAAGGAAGAAGCCAGCAAGUCUCCUGAGCUGUCAUCCAAUCAACAUGCUCAAAACUUUAAUUCUAUUUCUCAGAGACAUGGUGCCACUUUGAGUGGGAAUCAAGAUAUGACCAUUCCAAUCAUUGGCCAAUCUGGGAAGGCUGAAUUAGCAUAUCCAAGCCCUCGACAUGGAUUGAUUCCUGUUCAAAGGGGAAUGCUCGGCAAUAUAUCUACCGAAUACGGUCAUGAUUUCUCCCCUCUAUAUUAUGCUCAAUCAAGUGCAGCAUGGAGUCCCAAACUUGCUGGGUGGCAACAGUCUCCAUAUCCUCUUAGUACCUCAAUUCAUUCAAAUCCUGAUAUUCAUGAUUCUGAGAAAAAUCACAGGUGUUCUGAUGAAACUACUUACAACUCUGUUGACCAAAAUGAUCAUCAGCAGAACAAUAAGGAACCUGUGGAUGAAGUGAGACAUGAGUCACCUGCUGCUGGUCAGAGUACUGGAGGUUUAUGUAAUGAUGCUGUCAUUCAUAAUAAGAGCAGUGCAUAUGAAAGCUUUGGCAGUAGAGAUGAUGGAAAUGCCAAAGAGAAGGCCAUGGCUCAAGAGAAUUUGAAUGAUGGGGACUACUUCAAUCGUGAUGGUUUUAGAGGGAUAGAUUCCCUUCGCUCCAGCCAAAGAGAAGCUGCUCUAACAAAGUUCCGACUGAAGCGGAAAGAUCGAUGCUAUGAGAAAAAGCUUGGGAAUUUCAAUUUCAAGUAAACUGUAGCACAUAUAUCAUGGACAGAGACAGGAAAUCUUAGCAUUCAGCUGCUAAGAAUGAUAUGUUAUUGCCUGUGGUUCGAUACCAAAGCCGGAAAAGACUGGCAGAGCAACGUCCUCGGGUGAAAGGACAGUUUGUUCGUCAAGUGCAAAAUGAUUCCCCAAUUGCUAAUGGUUGACCAUGAAAUUCAUCAUCACACGCCUGUUUAUUGCUAUCAUGUGCCUUGAACUUUUGGAAAUUAUGGCAUGACCAUGGUGAGAUAAGAAUGUGUUUGCAAGCUUCUUUGCCUUUGGGUCUAAUGACAGUAUGGUUCUAACUAUAAUUUUUGGGUCUAUUGAAAGGGUAGACUUGUAAUUAUGGGGUAAGGCUAUCAGAAUCCUCUUCUACUCUGGUUAUUUUGUUUGCUUGCUCAGUACAUGACUGACUCGUAGUUAGAGAGCUUUAAUAGCGUGAUAAUUUGCGUUGAUAGCAUAAAAAUGGGCUUGUUUAUUAAGUUAGCCAUGUCAGUAUUGUAUCAUAUGAUUGCUGAGCAGCUUCCACACAUUGUCUGUCGAAAAUUUAUGUACUCGUCAACCUUGCUUUCUGUUGCUCUUCUAUAAAAUAUGUUUGAAUUCCUGGUGA